GGGCGGUUAGCUCAGCUGGUAGAGCGUCCGAUUGACGUUCGGAAGGUUCAUAGGUUCGAUCCCUAUACCGCCCA
rnacentral:tRNA from 1 species